UUACUUAUUGUUCAUUAUUUUAAAUCAAGCAAAACAAAAUUUCAAAGAAAAGCUUGAACCCUUCUCUAAACAUUUAAGAUUUGGUGGAGUAGAAGCGAGAAGAGAGGGGCAGAUAUGGAGAGCUUUCAUUUUUUCACUCUGGUUCUAACAGCUUCAGUGUCUGUACAACUGGCAACAACGGAAGGAGCAGCGAAGACAACAUUUACAGGAAUACCUCCCGGCUGUGAUGAUGGCCCUGGAUCCCCAG
rnacentral:lncRNA from 1 species